rnacentral:rRNA from 1 species
UACGUAGGGUGCGAGCGUUGUCCGGAAUUACUGGGCGUAAAGAGCUCGUAGGUGGUUUGUCGCGUUGUCCGUGAAAACUCACAGCUUAACUGUGGGCGUGCGGGCGAUACGGGCAGACUGGAGUACUGCAGGGGAGACUGGAAUUCCUGGUGUAGCGGUGGAAUGCGCAGAUAUCAGGAGGAACACCGGUGGCGAAGGCGGGUCUCUGGGCAGUAACUGACGCUGAGGAGCGAAAGCGUGGGGAGCGAACGGG